rnacentral:rRNA from 1 species
AACGCGAAGAACCUUACCUACUCUUGACAUCCAGAGAACUUUCCAGAGAUGGAUUGGUGCCUUCGGGAACUCUGAGACAGGUGCUGCAUGGCUGUCGUCAGCUCGUGUUGUGAAAUGUUGGGUUAAGUCCCGCAACGAGCGCAACCCUUAUCCUUUGUUGCCAGCGGUCCGGCCGGGAACUCAAAGGAGACUGCCAGUGAUAAACUGGAGGAAGGUGGGGAUGACGUCAAGUCAUCAUGGCCCUUACGAGUAGGGCUACACACGUGCUACAAUGGCAUAUACAAAGAGAAGCGACCUCGCGAGAGCAAGCGGACCUCAUAAAGUAUGUCGUAGUCCGGAUUGGAGUCUGCAACUCGACUCCAUGAAGUCGGAAUCGCUAGUAAUCGUAGAUCAGANNGCUANGGCUNUAGAAU